rnacentral:misc_RNA from 1 species
AAAAAAAGAAGAAAAACCUCAUCUUGCAGCGAACUAGAAUCCCCCGAUCUGCUUAUUUUUAGUCGAUUUUUAGGUUUUUGAUUUCGAGAGAGGAGAUGUUGGAGAAGAUUGGAUUGCCAGCAAAGCCAUCUCUGAGAGGGAGUAAUUGGGUUGUUGACGCAUCACAUUGCCAAGGCUGUUCCUCUCAAUUCACCUUCAUUAAUCGAAAGCAUCAUUGCCGAAGAUGUGGUGGUUUGUUUUGCAACAGUUGCACUCAGCAACGGAUGGUUUUACGUGGGCAAGGUGAUUCACCUGUGCGUAUUUGUGAACCUUGUAAAAAGCUAGAAGAGGCUGCACGUUUUGAGAUGCGUUAUGGCCACAAGAGCAGAAUUGGCAGAGGAAGUUCAAAAUUGACAUCGAAGUCUGAGGAUGAAAUUUUGAACCAGAUACUAGGCAAUGAUGGGAAGGAAUCUUCAUCAGCACAAAAAUUCAACACUGACACAGCGUUCACUAUUCAAAGGGCAAGUAGCAGUGCUUCACGCUCAACUCCUCAAGAAGAUUUUGUGCUGGAUGGUGGAGUAGAAAUACAUAGAAGUCGUUCUGCUAAUGAGCCUAAUCAUACACAGAAUGAGAUAGGAUCAACGAGUCCAGAUAAAUUACGUCAACAAGCUUUAGAUGAAAAAAAGAGGUAUAAAAUUCUGAAAGGAGAGGGAAAGCCUGAGGAAGCUUUAAAAGCAUUUAAAAGAGGAAAAGAGCUUGAGAGGCAGGCUGAUGCUUUGGAAAUGUCUAUAAGAAAAAACCGUAGGAAGGUUUUGCAGUCUGGCAACAUGGGUGAGAUUCUGAAUAAAGAUGGCUCUAAAGAGUCUGGCACAAAAAGUAAACUCUUUGCUCAAGCAGGUAAAGAGAAGGAUGAUCUUACUGCUGAACUAAGAGAAUUGGGCUGGACUGAUGCAGAUCCACGUGAUGAAGAUAAAAAAUCCGUGAAUAUGAGUUUGGAGGGUGAACUGUCUUCUCUUCUUGGAGACAACUCUCAAAGGACUGGUAAAGAUGUGGGGACCAGUGGCAUUGACAAGACUGAGGUUGUUGCACAUAAAAGAAAGGCUCUUGCGUUGAAGCGUGAAGGAAAGCUUGCAGAAGCCAAGGAAGAAUUAAAGAAAGCUAAAGUCUUAGAGAAGCAGCUUGAAGAACAAGAACUGUUGGGUGUGUCUGAAGAUUCUGAUGAUGAGAUAUCUGCACUAAUCCGUGGUAUGGGUGAUGAUAAACAGGACGAAUUGUUAGUAGGAUAUGAACAGGAGCAAGGUUUUGAUUUUGAUCACCUUAUGGGCACAGCUGAUGAUCUUCGUGAUGAUAACAACUUGGAAGUGACAGAUGAGGAUCUGAUGGACCCAGAAAUAGCAGCUACAUUAAAAUCAUUAGGUUGGACUGAUGAUUCUGACAAUCAGCGAAACACUGUGGCCCAGUCUGUCGCCAUUAACAGGGAAGCCCUACUGAGUGAAAUUCAUUCACUGAAAAUAGAGGCACUUAACAAAAAACGGGCAGGUAAUGUUACUGAGGCAAUGGCACGUCUAAAGAAAGCAAAGCUACUUGAAAGGGACCUGGAAAGGCUGGAGGGUGAAGCAGACAAUUUAGACACACAGAAUCCCACAAUUAUUCAGAAAGGUUCAAGUUCACAAAAUAUCUGUGUGAAGAGAGAUUUGGAUUCCAAACCUGCACCAAAGAAUAGAUUAUUGAUUCAAAAGGAACUUCUGGCUUUGAAAAAGAAGGCUCUUUCUUUGAGAAGGGAAGGAAAAAUGGACGAGGCGGAGGAAGAAUUGAAGAAAGGUAGAUUUCUUGAACGGCAGCUUGAAGAGUUGGACAAUACUUCAAAGUCUGAGGCUACGCAAGUGACCAAUGGUAGUAAGGACCCAGGUUCAGCAUUUGAACAUCCUGAUAUUCAUGGAAAUAAACCAAUUGGGGAAGUGGCAGAGGAUGUAACAGAUCAAGAUAUGCAUGAUCCAACGUACCUUUCUCUUCUAAAGAACUUGGGUUGGAAAGAUGAAGCUAAUGAGUCUGCAAGCUCAUUAUUGAAACCUUCCAAGGAAAAUGAUAAUCAUUCUAUUCAAAUCUUUGAUACCUCAGACGCCUCAUUGAAUAUUUCAUCAAGGACAACUAGAAGAAGUAAAGGUGAAGUACAGAGGGAACUCUUAGGUUUGAAAAGAAAGGCUCUUGCUUUGAGACGUGAAGGGAAGACUGACGAGGCAGAGGAAGUGCUUAGAUCAGCAAAAGCAUUAGAGACCCAGAUGGCAGAAAUGGAAGCACCCAAGAAAGAAAUUCAAGUUGAAUAUAACAGGCCCAAUGAUGAUAUAAUUAGGCCUCUUAAAAGUGUAGUUGAGGAUGGAGAUGCAGAUGAUGUUACAGAAAAAGAUAUGUAUGACCCUGCUAUGGUAUCCAUGUUAAAAAAUUUGGGUUGGAAGGAUGAAGAAUUUGAACCAGUAACUGCACAAGGAAAGCUGUCUAAAAAUGUUUCUGGUAGUUCUUGCCAUACUGCGGAUCCAUUUGUAAUCCCAUCCUCUUCCAGCACUUCAGCUGCAACACCAAGUAGCAAAGCAGAAAUCAAACAAGAUCAACUGGGUGAAAUGGGAAUUCUAUGCAGUGCAGGAGCAGAUCAAGGCCUUGGUUUCAUUCCUCCACGUCACCAAUCUGGGAAUGUAAUGGAUUUCCUGACAGUUGAUGACCAGACAGGUUCUCGAAAACCAGCUGGAAAACCAGAAGCUGAAGCCAAUUUUGGUUUUGAUGUUUCAUUUAUGCCUGAGGCCCAUGUUCAGGUUGAGUCCUUGACAAGUUCCCCUGGAAUUCUAACAAGAAAAGAUGAUAAAGUCAGUUCUGGUUCUGGUGUUUCAUGUCAGGUUGAGAACAAUGUUCAUGCAAGGUCCUUGACAAGUCCCCCUAAAAAUCUUGGGAGUGAAGCAAGUGUUGCAGCUGAAGUGAGUGAGGAAACUGUUAACGCAGACGACAAGCCACAAACUUAUGAAACCCAUUCUACUCAGAGAUUAGCUUCUCAAAACAACAAAAAUUCCCUUCAGCAAGAAGUUUUGGCUCGUAAGAGGAAGGCAGUUGCUUUAAAGAGAGAAGGAAAAUUGUUGGAGGCUCGAGAAGAACUUAGGCAGGCAAAGAUUUUGGAGAAGAGUUUAGAGGCAGAUUCUUCUGAGACUCAAACUGGUACUCAACAUGUGUCAGUAUCUUUGUCCAAUGUUCAUCCUCCUGUUCAACAAAAGGAACAUAGUGCAGCCAUUUUGGCUCCAAAACCAUUGUCUGGGCGUGAUCGUUUCAAGUUACAACAGGAGUCCCUUAGCCACAAACGUCAAGCUUUGAAACUGAGAAGAGAAGGCCGCAUGGAAGAAGCAGAAGCUGAGUUUGAAUUGGCCAAGUCUCUUGAGGCACAGUUGGAGGAGUCGGCUUCUCAAGAUUCCAGCAGGUCUUCUGUCAGUAUGGCAGAACCAAUGGACAAUGCAGUGGUUGAAAAUCUUCUCGAUCCUCAACUCCUAUCUGCCCUGAAGGCAAUUGGUAUUGAGGAUGCUAGCAUUGCAUCACAAGGCCUAGAGAGACCAGGUUCUGCAAAACUUAAUCCUCAGAAGGGCGAAAAUGUUGGUCAAGAGAGGAUUCAGUUGGAAGAGCAGAUCAAGGCGGAAAAGUUAAAGGCAGUGAAUUUGAAACGUUCAGGGAAGCAAGCUGAGGCUUUGGAAGCUCUUCGGCGGGCAAAAUUAUAUGAGAAGAAACUAAAUUCCUUGGCUUCAAAUUGAAGAGAAAAAAUGAUGCUUGAAAUCUUUCAGUUUCAAGCAGAGUGUUGUGGAAAACAAGAUGAUUAAAAGAAAAUCAAGAUUUUUUCUCCAUCAUGAGCAUCAAAGUUUGUGCUAUAGAAGCAAGAAUGAAGCUCUUCCCAUUUUUAAAAUCUGUUUCAUACCAUUUGUGAAGAAUGAAAGAUGCUGGUUAUUUAACUAAAUGAUGCAAAACGUGUAAUAACUUGUUAAAUUAGAAAAUGGAAAACGAGGUUGAAAUUGUAUGAGCUUCAUGAUCUUUAUUGCUUGUAAGUAUCAUGCUAUAUGCCUGAACCGUGGUUGCCAAAGGAAAUCUGAUGAUUUCUGAACUACUAUGGGGUGGCUGCAGACUGCAGUGGAUAAGGGAGGAGAAUUUUAUGAUGAGAUGUUGUCAAGGCUUGUGGAAAGGGAAUACAGCGGGGGCUAAUUUGCCAAACAAGUUAAUUUGGCGUGAUUCGCCAUCUGAUAGCAAAGUUUCAGAAGGCAAAUUGCUACUUCCCAUUUAUAUUUCUUAAAGGCAAAUCAUACAAUGGACAAAUAGAAAAACAUUUUUUUUCUUUUAAUUUUGUGGAUAGAAAAGCAUUUCUUAAAAGGGGUUAUUUGUUUGUCUGUAGAUAGCCA